rnacentral:rRNA from 1 species
UAGGGAAUAUUAGUAAUGGGCGAAAGCCUGAACUAGCAACGCCGCGUGUGCGAAGAAGGCCUUCGGGUUGUAAAGCACUUUUUGAGAGGAUGAGGAAGGACGGUACUCUCAGAAUAAGUCUCGGCUAACUACGUGCCAGCAGCCGCGGUAACACGUAGGAGGCGAACGUUAUCCGGAUUUACUGGGCGUAAAGCGCGUGUAGGUGGUUUGGUAAGUAGGGCGUGAAAGCUCCUGGCUCAACUGGGAGAGGCCGUUCUAAACUGCCGAACGAGAGGAUGGUAGAGGGAGGUGGAAUGCCGGGUGUAGCGG